UAAACCACAGCAUAUAAUGUAGCUAUAUAAUAACAAAAUGCCCACAGAAGAUCAUAGAUCUACAGGAUUAGAAUUUUUGGGAAGUCGACGCAUUGCUUUUAUAUUCUUUUGCUGCACGCAACAUAACACUGUUCGUUUUUAAAAUUGAGAAAUUGUUUGCGAGCAAUCCCAGCUUUGUAUGGAGCAAGCCGUUCAGGGUUUCAUUAGAAAGCCCGUUUUGUCAGUUUUUACAUUUUUGAGAACACUGAAUAGUCUUUCCACCUCAGUCUUUGAAGAAGAUGCUGCUAGUAAAACUGAAAUGACAACUUCAAGGUUUUGGUAAAUGAAAUUACCAUGAUAAUUUUUCAUGGUACAUGAAGUACCUAUAGCGUGUGAUGCGUGCGAUGAUACCACUGAGAAAAACAAUGCACCCAUCAUUUUUAGAUGAGUCUUCUAAAGGUAUUUCGAACGUUACCAGUUACUACAGUAGGUGGUAGGACCUCUUGUGAGUCCACGCGGCAUGGUUUUGUUGUACUAUUGGCGUUACUGGUGUCCGGUCCUCCAAAAUAACAAGAAAACCAAAGGAAUAAGAUCUGAAAUCGAGUGCUCAGCUGAUCUGUAUUCCGGCGUCUAAAUUGAGAGUCUGUGGUCGGUGUCCGCACUCACGUGUGCCGAGCGGGGGGCGGGGGCGGCGCUCUCAGUCGUCGCGCUGCACGUGGCGGCGCUGCAGGGCGAGCGCGAGGUCGUGCUGCAGCGCGGCGGUGCGGCGCGCCACGUCCGCCGGGAUCACUGACCUCAGCCCGCUCACUAUAUCUUUUGUUUUACC